rnacentral:rRNA from 1 species
ACUUAUAGAUGGAUCCGCGCUGCAUUAGCUAGUUGGUAAGGUAACGGCUUACCAAGGCAACGAUGCAUAGCCGACCUGAGAGGGUGAUCGGCCACACUGGAACUGAGACACGGUCCAGACUCCUACGGGAGGCAGCAGUAGGGAAUCUUCCGCAAUGGGCGAAAGCCUGACGGAGCAACGCCGCGUGAGUGAUGAAGGUCUUCGGAUCGUAAAACUCUGUUAUUAGGGAAGAACAUAUGUGUAAGUAACUGUGCACAUCUUGACGGUACCUAAUCAGAAAGCCACGGCUAACUACGUGCCAGCAGCCGCGGUAAUACGUAGGUGGCAAGCGUUAUCCGGAAUUAUUGGGCGUAAAGCGCGCGUAGGCGGUUUUUUAAGUCUGAUGUGAAAGCCCACGGCUCAACCGUGGAGGGUCAUUGGAAACUGGAAAACUUGAGUGCAGAAGAGGAAAGUGGAAUUCCAUGUGUAGCGGUGAAAUGCGCAGAGAUAUGGAGGAACACCAGUGGCGAAGGCGACUUUCUGGUCUGUAACUGACGCUGAUGUGCGAAAGCGUGGGGAUCAAACAGGAUUAGAUACCCUGGUAGUCCACGCCGUAAACGAUGAGUGCUAAGUGUUAGGGGGUUUCCGCCCCUUAGUGCUGCAGCUAACGCAUUAAGCACUCCGCCUGGGGAGUACGACCGCAAGGUUGAAACUCAAAGGAAUUGACGGGGACCCGCACAAGCGGUGGAGCAUGUGGUUUAAUUCGAAGCAACGCGAAGAACCUUACCAAAUCUUGACAUCCUUUGACAACUCUAGAGAUAGAGCUUUCCCCUUCGGGGGACAAAGUGACAGGUGGUGCAUGGUUGUCGUCAGCUCGUGUCGUGAGAUGUUGGGUUAAGUCCCGCAACGAGCGCAACCCUUAAGCUUAGUUGCCAUCAUUAAGUUGGGCACUCUAAGUUGACUGCCGGUGACAAACCGGAGGAAGGUGGGGAUGACGUCAAAUCAUCAUGCCCCUUAUGAUUUGGGCUACACACGUGCUACAAUGGACAAUACAAAGGGCAGCGAAACCGCGAGGUCAAGCAAAUCCCAUAAAGUUGUUCUCAGUUCGGAUUGUAGUCUGCAACUCGACUACAUGAAGCUGGAAUCGCUAGUAAUCGUAGAUCAGCAUGCUACGGUGAAUACGUUCCCGGGUCUUGUACACACCGCCCGUCACACCACGAGAGUUUGUAACACCCGAAGCCGGUGGAGUAACCUUUUAGGAGCUAGCCGUCGAAGGUGGGACAAAUGAUUGGGGUGAAGUCGUAACAAGGUAGCCGUAUCGGAAGGUGCGGCUGGAUCACCUCCUUU